GCCGAGCUAAUUAACGCAAGCUUAUAACCCAAGUGGGGGCAUCAAAGUGUUGGAACGCUGGUCUGGUCUCAGCUGGUCGGGUCUGUCGUGGCUCUAUUCUGGCCCGCCCGCUCCAAGCCGGGAGUUGAGCCGUGUGGAUUGGGCGAAGGCUCAGGCUUCACGGUUCCUAGAGCGGAGGGCACCGCGUAAGGCUGGCUUCACAGAGCAACGAUCACCUCCCGCCCUUGGCAGUGGAAGGAUAACGGGUCGGUGCCACCCGGAUCCAUCAUGCCCCGCUGGACCGUUCCAAUUGAACCAACGCUUUUUGUAUUUUUUUGCUUUCUUUACCGUAAAUCUCUGUUUUAAUUCGAAUGCUUUUGUGGCGUAUACCAAAAUCCCAAAUCAUCUGACUCAUUUAAACAUCUGUGGUGCUGAUUUUGGUGGUGCCGGCGACGCAUUGCCGGAGCAGUGGUGGUGCAACAAAACUCGGAAAAAAUGUUGACUUCGCUGAAAACAUAGUUGGCGCAAAUGCAAUCGUCUUCCUUUUCGACAAUGGCAUUACAGCAAUCUUGUUGAAUGGCCGGUUAUCGAGUCCGAUAAGAUACACAAAUCUCAUCGUAACAAGUAGCAGAAGCAGUGUGGUAAGCUCCAAGGAACUUUUCAAGCUUAGGAUGGGGGGAGAGAGCCGGUGUUUUGGGUGGAGCAGGAGAGCUGGAAUCGGAAGCAGCCAAGCGUUGUGUCAGUGCUUAAACAAAAGAGAAGGAAAAACACAGCAAGCACUCCUCCUUUCAUCAUCUUUGCUAAAUUUGAUGAAUCACAAGUGAAAUAUAAGUGAGUUGAGUUGCAUGGUGAAUGUCAAAACUUAAAUUGAUAAUUAUCAACAUUUAAAUGAGAUUGAUUUGAUUGUAUCGAUCCAAUUAGUUGAUCGGCGUUAGUCUCAUCUCCUCCAGAAGCAAAAUCCAAGUGUUUUAGUGUCCUUACCCAACCUACAGCCGCAUCACCCCACUCGCUCCCACACCAGGUAGUUCUAAUGGUGCUUCCUUUUCUCAACACUGAGUAAUCUUAUUAUUUUUAAUUUCUUGCAGGAACUUUAAUCCAUAUACAUGAUCACUUGAAAUUUUACCCUUAAAUAAAAAGAAAUGGGAAGAUAAUUGUGUGAGAGUAUGCAGAAUCUAAACUUUAGGAACACCACUUGUCGUUUUGAGUUUUUUUCUUUUGGGAGUUUUAAUUGUCGAUUCAUCCCUUUUUUAAUGUUUGUCCACAACAACGUAAAUCUCAAACUCCCGAAGUUGCGAUUGAGAAAUACAAUUUGAUUAAAUGUGGCCAAAAUUUUGAGUUGCCAAAGUACAAGUUAAGAGAGAACCACAACAACUACAACUUGUCUCACAUCGACAAUCAGCAGCUAUAAACAACGCUUUAUAUGUUGUGCACAAGCCGCACAUCCCGUCGAGCUUAGCAACGCAAGCUUGUAACCCGAGUGGGGACAUUAAGGUGUUGGGACGCUGGUUCUGUCUUAAGCCGGCCGGGUCCGAUGUGGCUCUUUUCUGGCCCGCCCAUUCCAAGCUGGGAGUUGGGCCGUGGAGCUUGGGCGAAGGCCUGGGCUCCCUGGUUCCUAGAGUGGAGAGCACCGCGUAAGGCUGGCUUCACAGAGCAACGAUCAUUUCCCGCUCUCGGCGGUGGAAGGAUAACAGGUCGGUGCCACUUGGAUCCAUCAUGGCCCGCUAGGCAGUCCCGAUUGAACCAACACGUUUUUUUUAUGCUAUUUCAACUUUUCGUUAUUUUUAAUUAAGGGCCUCCGGGUGCCAUGGCCAAUAUCUUAU
rnacentral:lncRNA from 1 species